UUACCAGAUUAUUUUUGGAAUUAAAAAUAAACACGUUAAACUCCCGGCAUGCAAUAUGUAAACUAUGUGGCAACGGCGGCUUAUUUGGCCACUGCAGAGUUUUUGGACAUUUCCCACAAUAUUUAUAUUUGAUUAUAAAAAUAAAAAAAUAAAAAAUAAAAUUGAAAAUCAUGAUGCUAACAUAUGCGAUAUUUCACACAAAGCUUUCGAUAGUUCUUCAUAUCACAAUUUUCCAUUUUCUGUUUAACCAGCUCAUAUCUGAAAUAUCUUUAAUAACAUAUUGUAUGUCCUUCAAUUUUCUGUCUAUUAAUGCGAGUCUUUCAUAACUUGGUAUUAACGUCUAACAAGGUUAAACUUCAAAGAAACGUGUUUUAUUCUUCUUUCACAGGACGGAAAUAUUUUGCAAUGUUUUGUGUAUUAUUAUUAUUUUUAUUAUUUUAUUAUUUAUAUAGCGCCAACAAAUUCCAUAGCGCUGUACAAUGGGGUACAUAACAGAUUCAAAUAAAGUUUGUUUUUGGAGGGAUCUGCUAUAGUUAAAAUGUUCUAUUCUAAUCAUAUUGCCGUUUUAAAAGAAGAUGUAUUGAAAAUCGCAAAGGCACUUUAAUCAUGUUGAGAUACUGUGUGCUAUUAGUAUUAAAAUUAUUUACCAAUUACAAUUCACUUUAAAUACCUAAAUAGUCUUAGUUAACCAAUAGUGUGCCAGUGGCUGUGCAAAUUAUUAAAUGAAAUGGACUGGGAGUAUUAACAUGAGUUAAACGUGUGCCAUGCAAUUCUGCCAUUAUUUUGGACUGAAUUAUGAUGAGAAAGUCCUUAUUUGCUGCUAUACAAAGUAUCCAGAGAAAAAUUACAAAUCUUCGAUUAUUUACAGUAUUGUUUCUCAGAAUAGUUCUCUGAUAAAACUGGAACUAUUCUGAAAUGAUUAGAGAACUGCAAAUCGUGUUCCAAAAUAGCCGAGACAAAAAACACUGAACCAAAUUGAGAAUAUAACUGAGAUUCUAAUUUGGUCAUUCAGUAUAUAUAACAAUGUACCAAAGGUUUCUGUUUACUUGAAUUUGUUAUAAAACUUUCAUAAAUAAAAUUAUAUAUAAAAAAAAUGAAUUGCUGACGACACUUUGCAAAACCCUACGAGGCAAUCAUAACACAUACGAGGUAUUAUUAAAUACACAAUAUCACAAUCACAUACACACAUCUUAACACACAGGGUAAAGCAGGAAUUAAAGCUGAAGGCCACGUUAAUAGGACUUUGUUUGAAUGUAGCAAUGCAAUAGUUGCAGAUAGGAGCAUGUCAAUAUUCACAGAAUGCCUGCUUUAAUAUACCUCCAAACUGUCCCGAAUUAAGGGCCCCUCUACUAUAGUUCAGAGUUUAUUAACAAACUCAAAAGUAAGUGCUGUGUGAAAAUGUUAUUAGAUGUGUUUAUGGUGCACAAAACAAACUCAGGUCUUUACUGUCUGCACCUCAUUCUGCUUAAAAGGGGCUCUGUGCAUUGGUCACACUGAGAAGGGCUGGUCAGCCAGGCUCACGUGCCCUUUUUGGAAGUGCCAUGACCCGCCCCAUGUAUGUCACCCCUAUUGUCCCACACACCACCUGUCCAGCAGGCUUACCUCUCAAUAUUGGUGCAGAAAUAUUUAAUGAGCAAUAUUGGCUACAAUUUAAAAUGGCAUACUGUGUGUGGUCAUUUGCAUAAUGCUGUGUGGAAUUCUGGGAGUAUUGCAAGACUAUCAUGUUCUCCUAACUGCAGCGUGUAACGUAUAUUAUAGGCAACUAGACCACUCCACCUCAUUGAAGUGGUCUGGAUGCAGUGUCCCUGUCCCGUUAACCCUGCAACAGGAAACAUUACAGCCCCAGAGAAACGGCAAUGUUUACAUUGCAGGAUUAAGACUGCCUCUAGUGGCUUCCUGCUGUUUCACAGAGUCUGACUCACGCUUUGCAUGAUAACAUCCAGUGUCUUUAAAAACCCCAUAGGAAGCAUUAAGUCAAUGCUUUCCUAUGGGGAGGGCCUAAUGCACCGCGCAUGCUUAAUAGGUUCCAGAAUCGCCAGGAAGGAGCCUGAUUCAGCACUGAAGGAGGGAAGGAGGUGGCAGAAGGCACUAUAGGAAUACAAUGUUAUAUUUCUAACACUGUAGCAUUUCUUUAUCAACGAGAAGAUGAUACAUAGCUUUACAUUUGAGCAUAUAUAUCAUACAAUAGCAAUCUUGUUUUUUUUAUUCAAACAUUUUAUUGUUUUAAAUAAAACAGAAGAAUCUGGAUGGGUGUCGGGGGUUAUAUCACUAAACACCGUAACAAAGUCUUAUUCAGAAAAGAAGAAUAAAAUACACAGAAAAGGGAAAUUUAAAUAAUUUAAAGAUUAAAGUUGAAGUCUUUACAAUGUAUUUUUAAAGAGUACUGUUUUGUAAAAUACAUUUACUGUGCCACCAUAACAUACUGUGAAUAUUGUUUUAUUAGGUAUUUUAGAGUGUAAGCUUCUUUGGCAAUAGCUUUUAUCACUGCAUGUUCCUGCACAACAAACAUAUUAAGUCUCUGUAGUCUGAUUUUGUUUGACCUGUUAUACAGCACUGUAGAAUGUGUUGGUUGCUUGAAUAUUAAUUAUAAAAACGUAUUAUAAUAUUUAUUUAUUAAUUAAUCUCCCACAAUUCUAUACAUCUAUAUUAUUUUUAGAAUGUAUCACCAACAUAGUCUGCGGCGAUGUACCAUCGGACAUGUUUAGGAAGGGCGAUGCUUUGUACGCUGGUGCCAUGUUCACCAUAUAUGAUCUUGUUUUCCUGCAGUCCUGGGUUUUUGCCAUUUGCUGUAGUGCAUGUUUUGUAUAAAGUUAGGAGAUGUGGGAGGUGAGGCCUGCACAGAGCUCUCUCUUGUAUCUGACAUGAUACACUGUGACUACUCUCUCCCUGCGUUCACAUGUAAUCAGACUGACCAGUUCCAAACCCACCUGUGUCCGAUGCCUCACUAAUAACCGAUUUUUAGUUUAAUUAAAUACAUUGAUUAUUAUUGAAGUGGAUAUUUUAAUAGAUGUGAUUUUGCUGUAGCCAACAGAAAGCAUUUUCCUGAUGUGUUCUAAGACUUUGCGCACAGUGUAACGUAGCGGGUCUAUUAACUAAACAGUGACUUGGUCUGUAGUGGUUAUGAAGCUCGGAGUAACCCUUUACCUGCUGGCAUGAUAUAUUCUUCCAAGAUGGUAAUAAUCUCCAGCUCAGAUAAAUACCAAAUCUGAUCAACUACCUUUUGUAGCCUAAUUUGCCAAGUCAGCAAUCCAUUUACCACUACACACUGGGGAUAAACCCCAAAUAUACCAAAUAUUUGUCUUUCAAUAUAUACAUGUUUGUUCAGCCAUCACCUUGCGAUAAGAUCUCUUUUAGGAACAUAGUUUGGUACAAGUGAUGAUGAAGAUAUUGAUCUCUAAUUAUUAUUAUUAUUAUUAUUAUUAUAGCGCUUCCUUAUUCUGCAGUUCCACACCUUUAUACAAAGGUGAUAUAACAGCAAGUAAGAGAGAAAAUACUACACAUGUUAACAGGGCCAAUAGGUUAACCAGGACCCUGCUCAAAUCUUUUUACAAUCUAUCAAUACUAUUGAUUUAUUGCCUGAUCUUUUUUACCAUUCAGUCAUUAUAUCUGACCAAUAAUUUAACACUAAUUAGAUUGUCGGAUAUCAGCAGCAGAACACACAUUACAUUUUAUUUAAUGUGCUCUAUUUACUAAACAGUGACUUUUCAUCCAAUUUACCAACUUGCCAUUUAGGUCCAUCUGCAAUGGAAGAGAGAUUGCCGGGUGUAUGUCAUCAGUUAUAUGCCAAAAACAUAAAGUCACUGAUCAAGCAAAUAGGCUUAGAGCAAAGGGACACAUUAAGCACCAAAACUCUUGCACAGGCAGCAGUUUUUUGCAGUGAUUUCUUUUUAAGUAAUGUCACAAAAAGCUGGGGGUUGCAGGCAUCCAAAUCCAGAAAGUUUCAAGAAAAUCUGUCCAAGUUUAAAUAGCGAUGAUAGGUAGCGAAGCUGGGCUAGGCCCACCCCUAACAUUUGUGGUGUAUUAUUGGCCUCUCCUACUGCGCCAGCACCUGAUUUGCUAGGUGAAAGUCCUACAAGUUACUAUUCAAUAAAACCAUUACCUUCGAGAUGUUCCAUACGCACUAGGCUUCAGGCAUUCUCUUACUGCAACCUAUUUAUGGGUUUUAUUAUUAUAUUUUACAAAGUUACAAUGUUUUAGCUUGCUAUUAAUGCUAUAAGGUUUAUUUACUAAACAGUCCUAUCAUCACAGCUAACGUCUUAGUGAUUACACCCCUCCGAAAAAAAAAUCCAGUAAAACCCUUAUUUAUUUACCACUUGUGUGCAAAUUACUGUUAGUGGAAUUACUUUUUGUAUAUGGGAAUGGGAGGAGGGAUUGCAGAGCCAACCUAUCAGCACUGUAACGGUUAAAUAGAAAUUUAAGACUUUAUUCUCCACUGUACAAUUUGUUGGCGCUAUAUAAAUCAUAAUAAUAAACAGUUAAUUAUAACAAUCUGAGAACUCAAUAUGUGAGAUGACAUAAGUCGGUUUGGAGACAUUUUCUAUCUUGGCGAUUUCAUUCCAAAAAGAUGGACUUGACAACAAUCCUCCACAAACAUUCUCAACAAAAUCUUUUCCCAAUAAUUUUACAUUGUUACUAUUUAGGAAAAAAGAAAUGUAUAAAAAAAUGAGAAUUUGUAAGUAUUCUUUUUAGUUCCAAUUUUAUAAUGAUUCGCAUUGUAUUGGAGCAAGUACUUGGUGUGCGAAUUAAAUUAUAAAAUAUUUUGGACAAUAAACAAACAACUUAAAGAAUGUGGGGCAGAACGUAGAUUUUGGGGGGCGGGGGGAAUCCUUAACCCAGCUUAAAUACUAGUUUUUCCAACUGUUUAGUUUACAAUUUGCAAGUCGGUUCUCAGGCCUCCAGAAGUGAAUAACCCCCCACCCCAAAUAAAUAAGGGAGUUUCGCAAUUUGCAGAUAAUUAGAUGUGAAAGAUCUCAUAAUUCGGUAUAUAGAUUCUGUGGUGUCAUUUUCUCAGGGCGAUUUUUCACACCACAUACAAGAGGGAAGGAGAGAUUUAUGAGGCAUGUGCAGAUGGGUGCAAAAUGCCACAUUUUUAUUGGGGUAUCGGCUGGACUUUAUGGGGUCCCUCCUUUGUUGUGUUUGUCUGUUUGCCCUGAGGCUGCUGGUUUAUCAGCUGUCUAAGUGAAGGGAAAGCAGUUUCAAACCAGCACUGAGUCUGCCAAUUUUAAAAUGUCAUGGUUGGGUUUCAAAAGAAAUUCUUUCUGACCUACUUCUGCCGAGCUUCUCAGCCGUAUGAGACGAGUAAAGGUUCUUUUUUUACACUGAUUCAUCUGCUUGAACAACAAACAGAGGUUUUUUUUUUUCCUGCACACAGAAAUCGCCACAAUAAUAAGUUUUUCGUUACGAGUUCCCUAUUCGGUGCCCUGAUAAAUCCGUCCCCACAUUACGUUAUUUAUAAUUAUUUUAGUGCUAAAAAAAAUUCUAAUAAUUUAUAUAUAUAUAUAUAUAUUUUUUUUUUUUUUUUUUUUUUUGGAUAACGCUGAAAAAUUCCUUCCCAACAUGACCCUGGGAAAUUUUAAAAUAACUGACAUUAGAUACAAUUAUUUCAAGUUGCAAAUAUGUGAGGAAAAUGUUAAAUAUUUGACAAUUGAAACAUUUAUAGCAAGCUGCACAUACCAGAAAUCAGAAUGAUGGAAUCAAGGUUGGCUGUGACCCACAGGCAUCCUUGUAUAGAUUGUGGUGUGCUUGGCAACUCAAUAAUUUAUAUCCUAUUACAUAAUUUUUUCAUACGAUCCAGGCCAUCUGUUUAUAAGUCUACAAGAUAGAUAGCCGAUCGCAUGAUUGAACUACAAAACAUUGCAGAAGAAUAGACAUUAUGCCAUUGAAAUGCUUUGGACAUUUAUAGGCCGAUAUAUAUGAUUUUAAAUUAGAUUAUAAUCCAAAUCGGACACAUCCCAUCACGUCGAACAAUAGAGGGUAAUAAAAGUGGCAUGCACUCACUGAUCGCCUGCAUUACCUGACAUUUUAUCUCUACGGUGCUGUAGCAUUUAAUGAUAAGCAGAGAUAUUUGGGGGGGACAGAAAUGAAAGAAUUAUAAAGAGUAGCGGCAUUCUAUAAAGUAUUAUUGAACAGAAACUGUUACUUACCAGGAUUUUAAAUAUUAUGUUUACUUAUCCACCUAUGUUUAACAAAUAAGUAUUUGUGAGCUGUAAAAACUAAAAUUAAAUAUAGCAAUCCACACCUCCUUAUCCUGCGCCUGGGUACCUCAUCUUAGCUCCCUGUCAACAAUUAUUCUUCGCACCUGGCAGUCAGCAUAGAGAGAGCAGACAGAGAAGAAGAGAAAUGCAACGCUUGCCCUGGCUUUGUCUAGGCUGAACUGGACUAUGAUGUAAUUUGAUAAAUCUUUAAUAUGCAAAGACGAAAAUAAUGUAAAAAAUAAAUAAAUCCCCAAGCGCAGUAAAACUAACACUAACUGAGACUCUUAAUAAAAAAAUUCAGAACUGUGGAGAAGUAACAUAAGAAUAGCAAAUUUUAGGCCGAAAUAUUGGAGCUGAAAAUAUGAGCUAAUUUUCCCUCAACGCAAUCAACAUAUCCUUAUAGUUCGCCAACACCCUGAAAAAUCUACCUCCUCUCCAAUGGUAUAAUACGGUAUGUGAUGGGCAUAUUAUGGAUACAUUGCUGUCUCAUUGCCAACUGAUUAUUGGUGAUCAUUACAUUAAAUGUGCGAUCAUGACAUCACCUGGACUUGAUGGAAUUCUAUUUUUCUCAUUUUCUAUCUUUAAUGUGGAAAAAUCCCAAGUAAGAAAGUGAAGGUGUCUUUUAGACUUGGACUUUGAUUUUGGACCAAACUGCAAUUUGUCUGAACUUGGGACGAUUACUGUUCGUAAAAAUUCCAGAAUUCAGAGCAAAUAUAUACCCAAAUUAGAGACUAAUAAAAACCCUCAAUGCCGAUCAUGUUCAGAGGGACCUAUAUUCUGAAUUGUGCCCAUUUUAUAAAAGAGAUAAUUAAUAGGGAAAAAUAUUACUGAUGGCUAUGGGGACUGUGAGCAAGAAAGGAAAAAACAGGAAUGUCAUAUACAUUUAAUAAAUAUAAAAUAUGUAAAUAUAUAAAAAUAUAGAUUUUAUUUUUUUACUACCUCUGCUAUUUUUCCUUUUAUUGGCUACUUUUUCUCACUUAAUCUGUGAAACAAACUGGGAGGAACAUGCUCCUAUUAAUGUACUGCAAUAUAUAUUUCAAAUAUGAAUGUAUAUAUUUUGUAGCACACAACUUGGCCCAUUGCUGUGCCUCUUUGGUUUGUUCUUCUGAUUCGGUUUCUGAACCGAAGCCGAACCGACAUCCAACUGAAAAAAUACGUUACAGAGCUGAAAUUUCUUGCCUUGUUUUGGAAAACAGAAAUGAAACAGGCCAGGUGUUCAAAACCGUUCAACUAUGCAAAUAAAAGGAUGGGAGAAUUCCUGGUGUAUCUCUUUUUAACAGAACAGACAUAACAGACAUAAAAUGAUCACAAAUUUAGAUGACGGAAAAUAAGACAUAAGAAUGCUCCAUGCUUUGCAGUCUAGAGGAAGCAGGGUAUAAUUGCAAUGAAAGUAAAAUUAAAGGGCAAUGCAUUGAGAAAGGAGGAUGGAUUUAUAGGUGUACAGUCUGUAUUUAUAAACAGGCUAUUUUUUUUUUUAAAAUCAUACAGAGUAGUUAGCAGAGGCACGCAGAAAAAGAGUAUGAAUUAAAGGAACACAAAAGUGUUAAGAAUGAAACCUGCAUUCCUAGAGCUUUAAUUUCCCUGUGUAAAGAGCACCCCCCAUGUGUGCCCUAAAAAUUAUUUUUAAAAAGCUUUUACUUUUCUCUUUCCAGCUGCUGAGCGCUCGGCCUCCUGUGACAGCAUUGAGGAGGCAUUGCUUCCUCUGCAAUGGUCCAAUCUAAUCCAAUGCUUCUCAUGGGGGAUGAUAUACUUUCUUAUAGGGGCUUCCCCAUCAAGUGACCAAGGUUUACUCAGCCAGUGCAGCAGAAGAGCCUCUAGUGGCCCUCUGUAACAGUGUCUGAGGGCAGAAACCAGGCUACCCAGCCUGCGCUCUGACGUUAUCAUAGACCGCCAUACCGUAUGGCUCCAGGAGCCCACAGGACCACCAGGGAAUGUGCCCUUCCUGCCUAGGAGGUAAACCCCCACAUUGUCACCUCCUUAGUCACUCAACUCCAACCUUGUCACACUCACCACCCCUCAUCCCGUCACACUCACUCCCCCACACUAUAACUCUCACCACCCAGCCCUAGCACACUCACACCUAGCCUUUAUACACUCACCACCUGUUAUCCUGUCACAAUCACUCCCCCUCACCACCCAACCCUCUCACACUCACCCCUAUCCUUUAUACGCUCACCACCCCUCAUCUUGUCACAAUCACUCCCCCUCAUCAUCACACUUACCACCCAGCCCUUUCAUACUCACCCCUAGCCUUUAUACACUCAACACCCCUCACCCUAUCACAAUCACUCCCCCUUAUUAUCAAACUCACCACCCAGCCCUAGCACACUCACUGCCAACCUUGUUACACUCACCAACCCCACAUCCUGUCACAAUCACUCACUAUGACACUUAGCACCCAAAACUAUCACACUCAACCCCAACUUUGUCACACUCACCACCACUCUCACCCACUCACCCUGCCACACUCAUCCCUUUAUCCUGUCAAACUCACCCCCUCUCACCCUGCCACAUUCACCCCCUCCUCCUGUCAAACUCACCACCUCACCCUAUUGCACUCACCCCCUCAUCCUGUCAACCCCAGAUGGCUUGGGUGCAUUAUAACUUGUCGUGUCAGUGCAACAAUUUAUAGUGUUACAAUACUUCACUAUAAUUUGCAUUUAUAGCUUUGUCUCGGAUAAGCUGAAACCCCAUUUCUUUUGUACACAUUACAUACAGCCAGCACACACACACACACUACAUACAGCUAGCACACAUACACAUUACAUACAGCUUGAACUUUUUAGCUUAUUCUGUGGUAACGUUUUCUUAAAGAUAGGUGUCAGAUGUUUAAACAGGGGCUGUGAGGGGCGUAAUUUAAGUGCUUACCAUAGGCGUUGUCUUCAGUAGAUACACCUCUAUUGAGAUGAAGUAACUUUGGUGACUUCUGUGGUCCUUCAGUGAUAAGGGACAUGAUGAAUGGUGUUAGGAGUGGUAUCUACUAACUGAUAUGCUCUGUUCCAGAAAUUAGUUUAUAUGGACAUUUUAGAAGACGUCAUUGAGGCGCCGUCAAUUCAUCGUCACUGCUCCAGCCCAGUCCUCCACAUAGGGGACCAUCGGGACCUGAUGCGAUUAUGUGGCAAAUGCAUUCAAUGUUUUUCUUUGAGCGGCAAUGUCACAUGACCGAGUUUUACUUGGUAGUGGAAGCAUUUCUAGUGGCUGUCAGUAUGACACAUUUAACUCUUCAAGGUAGACACUGACAUUUCAGAAAAUCAGCAAAGCUUUACCUUGAAGGGUUAAAACUACAGAAUCACAGCACCCAGACCAAGUCACUGAGAUAAACAUCCUUUAAGUGAUGUGGGUGUUAGGAGAGGAAUCAACCAGUUGAUAUGAGUUUAUAUGGAUAUUUUAGAAGACUAGACACUGGAAACAUCUGAAGGGAUGAGACAGGACAUUCCACAUGAACAGGACAGCCCAAGAGAAAAACUAAGGACAGGUGAAGGUUGUUGUCGGUUUUCUAGUUAAAGGACAAGAUUUUAAAUUCCAUUCCAAAAAUAUACAGUUGACAAUAUAGGGACAGACAAAUGGGAAAGGUGUGACAGGAGUGAUAUUUUAGGGGUAAAAUGCCAGCACAAGGGUGGCUGAUGAAGUAUGGGGUGCAGUGACUGAAGACCAGUGCAUGAACCAAUGCUUUGAUUGCAUAAUGUUUUAGAAAGGGGUAAAUGAGGGCUAUAGUUUUAAGAUGACAGUUGCAGUAUUUGAUUACUGGAUGGGAGAAGUGAUCUAAAGGGAGAUGGACAAGAAAUGGUUUGAAGAAGUAAAAAGAAGAAGCUCUGUUUUAGAGAUAUUGAGUUUAAAGAAGGCAGACAUCCAGGUAAAGAGUGCGGGGACAGUUAGUGAUACGAUCGAUGAGAGAAGGGAAUAGAUCUAAAGAAGAGAGGUGCAUCUUGUCGGUGCCAUAAAGACUGCACUGAAAUCCAAAGCUAGUUAUUAUGUUACCCGGUAAAGUAGUAUAGUGAAAGAGCACUGAGAGAGAAGAUCCAUGAAAGAGCAAUCAAGAUGGACAAAUUUAUGGAGGUCUGAAGAAUGCCAACAGUGUCAAAAGUAGCAGAAAGGUCCAGAACAAUUAAUCACUAGUAAUGACCUCUAAAUGUUGCAAUCUUCAGGUCAUUUUGAGUGGUAAGAGUGGAAACCAGACUGAAGUACUGAGCUUUUCAAAAAACUCAAGAGGCAAAAAGGCAUUGAGACUCCGGAGGUGGGUCUGGAGGUUUUUUUUUAGGAUGGAAUUGAUAAUUGAUUGAAUUAGGUUACAACACACAAUAUAAAUACAUAUGGCCGAGUUAAAUAUGGAACAAGAACAGAUCAAAGAAACUGAGCAAAAUCUGCAUUGGUUAAACGAGGAGGCAUGUGGAUAUGGUGUAAGAUAAAGCUCUUCUUCAUUAAAGGGUUACCCCACUGAUUUGAAGUGGUCAUGGCGUCAGAAGUUUGUAUGCGCACUGUUUCGGUAUGGCAGCAUCACAACGGCGUCAUUAGUCAUGGGCCGGCUAAUGUUAAUUCUGUGCGUAUUUGGAAUCUGAUACAAGCACAUACAGCACAGAGUUGAAAGGGGGAUAAAGAGAGUGAGGAGACGUAUAAUUAUUUCAAUUAAUUGAAAUUAAUAUGUUCCAGACUUGUCAGCUGUGAGUUUAGUGGAAAGUUAAGACGUGAUGGGGCAGAGACUGAUGAAAUAUGGACGUGUAACGUGGAUUUGUGUUGUGAAAACCAUAAAGAGUAACAGUGUUAUUACGAAAGUGAGAAUUGUUGUGGAAUUCCAAAAACAUUUUAAAUAUUUACAUUUCACGCCAAAAUAGUAAAAAAAAUUGAACCAUAGCUGACUGGGAGAAUUUGUCAAGUUCAGCUACUUUGACCUUAAAUUUGAAAUUCACAGUGAAUUAUUUUGGAAUUCCUGACCAUUUUUAGUUUAGGAAAUAACCCUGAACGUGCUGGUUUUUUCUACUUUCUCCAUGGUAGCCAAGAUGCAGGUGUCAUAUAGGAAGGAUGCUAGUUUAGACUCAGAGAAAGGAGAUGUGAAGAGAUGUUAAUGAGUGGUCGUUGGGAAUUAAAACAGAUUGAGUUAUUGAAGUUUUCAGCAAAAACUUUAAUCUUUUCACAGUGUCUGUGUGUGUGUGGGCAAGGGGGGGCCUCUUCUGCAAUAUCCUAACUAUAUGGAGCGUAUUGUGAUGUGAAUAGUUUAUACCUGACAACAGAUGUCUGCAGAUCCCACUUACCAGAACAGCAUAACACGUUGUAUAAAAUUACUUUUUUUUGAUAUUCACUUUUCAUAGGGUUCUCAAAAAAAGUAGGUUACAGCAAAAUGUAGAUAUUUGAUACACUAGUUCAGUAAACAUCCAGGUGGAUUUUAAUUCAGCGAGUCUUCAAAAUAAUAAAAAAAUAAAUGACCAACGAAGAUGUCUCAAUAAGAGAUAAAGAAGGAAUGUAGAAAAGAGAAUAAGUAAAAGAAAGUGGAGGAUUUAAAAAAUGUAUAAAAAUUACAAGGUAGCCAUAUGAGUCUACAUGAAGCCCUUGGGUAGGUAGGUACGUAGGUCCUUGAACCUAUUCAAUUGGUAAAGACAGGUGGAGUUGAGCUUUAAGGUUCCCAUGUGGAGGCUGCACCACAAUUUGCUAAGGACCUGCUGCAGCUUGUGUGGCACCCUAUGGGCAAACAUUUACACAAAACGAUCUAUUGGUCGUAUAUUGGGAUUACUAUAUAUUGGUUACAGUUUAUUCUCUAUACAAAGACUCUGGAAUAAAUAUUAACCUGAAAAUUAUUUUAUGAAAUUCCAACCCAGUCAAAAUAUAUCAUAAGACCAAAUAAGGAUUACUCUGUCUUCUGGUAUUAUUAGUAAUAUGAUUGCCAUUUACAAUAUUAUAAAGGGUGAAAUUUAACAAUAAAUGAAACAAUUACAAAAUAUUACAGGAACAAUAGAUUGAAGAGGACCCUCAAACAAGUACAAUCGAGAGGAGUUGAAGUAUAAAAACACAACUGGAAAGGUAUAUCCUCAAGUUGAGAAAACUUGACAAAUGGUCUUUUGAGAUCCUCCACGGACUGUAUUGUACUCAGUGCAUGAGAGUGCAGCACCAAUGUCGGCUACCAACAGAUAAAAUGCCAGGAGCAGAGUCUUGAAGAUGGCAGCGCCUGUGGGGGAUAGCAACAGGUAAGUAUAACUGACUUCUGCUGCACCACCAGGCCACCUCACCCAUGUCACCAUUGGAUUUUUUUUUUAAACUUUGCAAACACCCUAGAAGGUGACAGAGCUGCUUUAAGGUUGUAGAUCUUUGAAUUCACUCCUAGUAUAGAAAUCUGAAUGGUCAGUAUAAUAUAUUUAUAAAGCUCCUAGAAAAAGAGAGACACUAGGAUAAAAAAGAGGGACAGGUGGCUUUGGGCCCAAUGUAGGGACUGUCCCUCCUAAACAGUGACAGUUCGGAGGUAUAGAAUCCAAUCCUCUUCAUUGAGGACCAUCGGGGACUUGAUGCGCAUGUGUUGCAAACGCAUCUAAUGAUUCUCAUAAUUAAGCACCAAAUCCAAUGCAUUCUUGUAAUCUGCAAUGUCACACGGCCAUGCUUUACUCGGUCAGUGCAGCAGAAGCAUGUCGAGUGGCUGUCACUAAAGGCUUGUUUAAUAUUUUAAGGCAGACACUGUCGUUUGUGAAAAACCUCAAUGCUUAAAAUUACAGGACCCCUGCACCCAGACCAUGUUACUGAAAUGAAGUUGUCUGGGUGAUUUUAGUGGUCCUUUAAAUACUGCCAAAUAGAACUACGUGCAGCUUUUUUGAGAAAUUGGAUAAAGUUUUUCUUAAUCCAAAUAUGGGAAGCAAUGCAAUAUUCAUAUAUAUAAAGAAUUAUUUUGGAAACCAGCUCUCAAAAACUGGGUUCCGGAACGUCAAAAUACUAAAACUAACUGUCUUUUAGGUAAUGCUCACCAGUUAUUUAGCACUCUGUUUAUCGUUUGGACUAUUUCACAUAUUAUAUAUAUAUAUCCUGUAAUUGACACUGAAAAUGGUAGGAUCAACCUGCCUUGCAUCUGUACCAUAUGGUCGGACACAAAUUAUUUCGCGGAUUGAAAUUCAUAGAAAGAAUGAUUGGAACUAGGCAGCUGCUGGGUUUAUAGAAACUGGGUUUAUAGAGCAACUUGGAAAAUAAUAAAGUAUGUCUUCUAUACUUCUACUGAAGACACUUCUAAGAAUUAACGGGACACUAUAGUCACCAGAACAACUACAGCUUAUAGUAGUUGUUCUGGUGUCUGUAGUUAGUACCUGCAGCCUUUUUGCUGUAAACACUGGCUUUUCAGAGAAAAGACAGCGUUCACAUUGCUGCCUAGGGACAUAUCCAGUGGCCACUCCUCAGAUGACCACUGGAGGUGCUUCCUGGGGCAGUGCUGCACAGACGUUCAGCACCCCCACUCACCACCUUGAUGAUCUCAGCCAAUCCAAUGCUUUUCUUAUGGAAAAUUAUUGGAUUGGCUGAGAGCAGGGGCGUACCUAGAGCAUUUGGCACCCGGGGCGGAUCCUGUGCUUGGCACCCCGGCAAAAAAAAACCUGUAAAAAAAUGUAAAGGUUCUCUUUUUUUUUUUUACAAUUUGUUACAGGCAGACAGUCACAUACAGUCACAGGCAGACAGUCACACAUACACAUUUCCUCCGUGCGGCCAGUUUAUCAGCUGUUUGCUUGUGUGAGCUGUACUGCCACAGCCCCCUCCAGCCAGGGCCGGUGCAAGGAUUUUUGCCGCCCUAGGCAAAAGUAAAGUUUGCCCCCCUCCCCCCCAUGUGACAUCACAAUGCCCCACUCCAUAUGAUUUGCCAUGUUAACUAACGCCAGUGCUGCAGUGCCGCCGUGUUUACAUUAAAAGGCCUGCAGGGACAGGCUAUAGACACCAGAACCACUACAUUAAGCUGAAGUGGUUCUGGGGACUAUAGUGUUUCUUUAAUGUGAGGUAAAUUAGAGCUUAGUGCCUCGAAUAAUAUACUAGAUUGCCUACUUACAACCAGAUGAGGAUGAUGAUGGGCUCUAGCUGCAGUCUGGCUUCACUGGUCUGGUGCAGAACAGUCUCUCUGCAGGCGGUUUGUAACUGUGGUCACAAAAAUCACAGUUCUGGGAGAGCGGGAAGCAGCUCCAUUUUUUGGGGGUCCUUUACACAGCUCAAGGUCUGGGUUCCAGGGUCCACCUUCAUGUUCCACCAAUGAGUUUGUUCACAGGGGGUGGAGUGUGUAGGGGAUGUCCUGAUAUGUGUGUAAGGAAUGCAUUGUGUGAAAUUGUGUUUGUAUGUGUGAGGGCUGCAAGGUGUGUUUCUUUGUAUGUAUGGGAUGCAUUUAAUGUGUGUAAGGGGUGCAUUGAGUGUGUGUAAGGAAUGCAUUGUGUGUUUCUGUGUGUGUAAGGGAUGCAUUGUGUGUAACGGUUGCAUUGCUUGUGUAUGUGUGUCUGUGUGUGUAAUGCAUUGUGUGUUUUCCUGUGUGCAAGGGGGUGCAUUGUGUGUAUGUGAUGAAUGUCAAUCUCUCCUCCCGCUCCAAUUUCCUUCUCCUCCUCCCAAUUUCUCUUUCUCACCCCCCCUCCUAAUUUCUCUCCCCCCUCCUAAUUUCUCUUUCUCUUUCCCCCUCCUAAUAUCUCUCUCCUCCCUCCUAAUUUCUCUUCCCCUCCUAAUUUCUCUCUCACCCCCUCUCUCCUUUCUCACCCCCUCCUUUUCUCUCCCCCCCCUCCUUUUCUCCUCCCCCCCCUCCUUUCCUUUCUCCUCCCCUCCCUUUCUCUUUCUCACCCCCUUUCUCCUCUUUCUCACACCCCUCCACCCUUUCUCACUUUUCCCCCCACUUUCUCCUCUUUCUCACCCUCCUCCUUUCUCACCCCCUUUCUCCUCUUUCUCACCCCUUUCUCCUUUUCACCCCCCCCCUCUCUUUUUCACCCCUCCUUUUUCCACUCCCCCUCCUUUUCACCCCCUUCUCCUCUUUCACCCCUCUCCUUUUCACCCCCCCCUACCUCUUUUCACCCUCUCCUCCUUCACACCCCCCCUUUCUCUUUUCACCCCCCUCUCUCCUCUUUUCACCCCCCUCCUUUUUUCACCCCCUUUUCUCCUCUUUCACCCCCCCUCCUCCUUUUCACCCCCCCUUUCUCCUCUUUCACCCCCCUCUCCUUUUUCACCCCCUCCUCUUUUUCACCCCCCCUUUCUCCUUUUUCACCCCCACUUUCUCCUCUUUCACCCCUCUCCUUUUCACCCCUCUCCUCUUUUUCACCCCCCUCUCUCCUCUUUUCACCCCCUCCUUUUUCACCCCCCCUUUCUCCUCUUUCCCCCUCUCCUUUUCACCCCUCUCUCUUUCACCCCUCUCCUUUUUCACCCCCCUCUCCUCUUUUCACCCCUUUCUCCUUUUUCACCCCUUUCCUCUUUCACCCCUCCUUUUCACCCCCCCUCUCCCUCUUUUCACCCCCCUUUCUCCUCUUUCCACCCCCCUCUCUCCUUUUUCACCCCCCCUCCCCCCUACCUCCCUGUAGCGUGGCCGAGCACAGUAUAGUCCGCGGGUACAGAGAGCAGCUGUCUCCUGUACCCGGCCGGACUAACAGGAAGUGAACACUGAGUGUGCACUUCCUGUUAGUCCGGUCGGGUACAGGAGACAGCUGCUCCCUGUACCCGCCGGCUAUGCAGGGCUCGGCCACGCUACAGGGAGGGAGCUGACAGGAGCGCUCCCUCCUGUCAGCCUCUCCUCAGGCUGCGCCCGGGCGGUGCGGUCCGCCCUCAUGGACGCACCGCCCGGGCAAUGCUGCAGCCGCCUGAGGCUCAAUACAGAGCGCUCGGGCGGCUGCAGCAUAUGGGGGGGGGGGCUGAUCAUGGCACCCGGGGCGGACCGCCCCCCCCGCCCCCCCCUUAGUACGCCACUGGCUGAGAGCAACAAUUGUGAUGAUGUCAGCCAAGGAGGUGAAUCAGGGGCAAGGCCAGCACCGGCAGGCCUGCGUGGCUCUGGAAAUAAGGUACGCUUUCUUACCUUUUAAGAGGGACAAGAGGGGGCAAACCACAUAUUUGUGUUCCUGACCCCAUAGUGUUCCUUUAACCAAACAGAGAAACAAUGUUUAGCUAACUAUAUAGUGAAACACUCAUGUCUUUUAAUGUUGCAUGGAAAAAUUGCAUUAGGCCCGCUUGUGGUUAACAGAUUUUUAUGAGGACAAUUGUGAUUGGACUUCAAGAUGUGAGUAUUUGUGAAUUCUCACAAUUGUCAGACUUUCCCCAAUGUGAGUCAAGCAGAAUUCCCUAAUAGCAUUGCUUUGCCCCUUCUUCGUAUUCUUCCCUCCUUUAGAUCCCAAUUUAAAAAAACACAAGAAAGUGAGAUAAAGAAGGUCCGUUAAAGCAAUAUUGCAAUUAUUGCCAGUUAUGAACACAAAAAAAACAGUGAAAUUCAAAAAUGGGUCUUUGUGGACUUUCACCUUAAAGAAAUAAAUUACAUUAUUAAUGGGAGGAGAAUCCACAAUAAUUACAGUAAGAAUUCUAUUCUGAAAUGGUAAAAUACACAAAGACACCAAAUAUCAAGUACAGAUGUUUAUUUGGGAACCCUUUCCCUAAGAUGUGGAGUCAAUGGAGGUAAGACUUUGAAAACACUACAACUUGAAUAACAGGUAGAUGGAGGAAGUGUAGAUCAGUCCUAGUGAUGGGCCCAUGAGUUAGUUUCAGGCCAACUUACAUUCUCUUUGCAAAAGUAUAAGUAUUGCUAAUCAAAGAUCUUAAGCUGGAAAGAUAAGGUCCUGCUAAGCAUUAUGAGACAUUUUGUGACCUAAGAAACAGACAAAAAAAAGCUUAGAAAAUAUCUUGGUAUUCCACACAUAUUGGCUUUAGGACAGCAUUACGUGCAUGUUUGUUUUGAGGAAAGGCUCACAGACACAAAAAUGACUAACAAAAAACAUAAAGGACUUUCCAGGAGAACUGUAAGUCCAAAUGAUAUAUAGACUAAAAUAGACAGCGAUGGAAAACUCUGCGUACCAAAUUCAGACUCCAGUGAGGAGUAAAUAAAUGUAUAGCAAUAACAUAACAGAAAAUGAGUACAUACAAUAAGGAUGUACAAAGAGCUGGACUCCCAGAAAACCAGUCGACUCCUUGCAAGAAAUGUGCAAUAUCUAGUUAUCGAAAGGUUCCCGUUAGAAACUCUAGGAAGAAAUCCAAGAAAGGAAUGUUCUGCAAUGAAUGAUGAGGUCAGUAGCAAACAUUUAACCUUCGCCUAAGGUGCUGAUGAUCCAACUGGACAAACUUUCAUCAUGCAAUAUUAUCUGCUCAACACCAAUCCAUCUAAGACUGGAGUCAACAAAGGGACAUAGCUAGAAGAGGUCAGGUGGAACAUGAUACUUAACAGCUUUCUUAGAUGUUCUGCUGAUGCCACCCUAAGCCAAUCAGGAUUACAUACAGAUUUGUAGUACAUGCUAAAGAGACCAGGUAGAUAAUCCUGAUAUUCCCCUUCCAGAGAGGCAUUUUAAGCACCUCCACUCUUCUCCAUGUGUCCACUAGUUAGGCUGGAUCCUGAUAAAGGAUGGACUUAGACAUUAAGGAAUUUUCAACACAACUGUCCACUAACACAAAGUUCUGGACAUCAUAAAUAUGAACUCUUUAUCCCUCUUUGGUGUUUGACACAAGCAACUGUCAUGACACUACUCAUCUGAAUGCAGAUGUGUGAGACUUGACCAAUACUGAACCAGUACGGAACGUCACUUGUAUACCUGAAGACUGAUUGUGAAAACACCUCCAGACCACUCCACAGCCUUUCAGCCUGGCAUCUGUUAUCACCAUAGAGCAUGAAAAAGACACGCUCUUGAAAUGAUGACUGACUCACCACCCCAGAGAUUUCCAGAUAUUUGGUUCCAAAAUAAUUAAUUGGGAAACAUCCUCAUAGUUUCAUCCCACUAGCAAAGCCAAGACAGCUGAAGCAAAUAUACCCAGUGGCGUACUAAGGGGGGGCGGCGGUGGCGGUCUGCCCCGUGUGCCACUCACUAGGGGGGUGCCCGGGGAGAACUUUCACAGAGGCGGCAUUCCCAUCCAGCAGCAGUAGGUCCUCUGCUCUCGCGGAUCACGAGAACAGAGGACCCUGCUGCUGCUGCUAGAUGGGAAACGAGGAUGCAGAGUUCUGGGCCCCUCUUCACUGCCCAUCCAUGCUGUGCCACCGGACCACCAGUCGAGGAGGAUGGGACGGGCAGGUAAGUGGCAGCACACACUAUACACACUGCAUCUGCACACACUAUACACACACUAUACACACACUGCAUACACUAUACACACACUGCAUACACACACUGUAUACACACACACUGCAUACACUACAUACAUUAUACACACUUCAUACACUACACACACACUGCAUACACUAUACACACACUGCAUACACUACAUACACUACACACACACUGCAUCUGCACACACUAUACACACAUUGCACACACUACACACACACUGCACAUACUACACACACACUGCACAUACUACACACACACUGCAUACACUAUACACACACUGCAUACACUAUACACACUGCAUACACUACACACACUGCAUACACUACACACACACUGCAUACACUAUACACACACUGCAUCUGCACACACUAUACACACAUUGCACACACUACACACACACUGCACACACUACACACACACUGCAUACACUAUACAUACUGCAUACACUAUACACACACGGCACACACUAUACACACACUGCAUAUACUACACACACACUGCAUACACUAUACACACACUAUACACACACUGCAUACACUAUACACACACUGCACACACUAUACACACACUGCAAACACUAUACACACACUGCACACACUGCACACACUAUACACACACUGCACACACUAUACACACACUGCAUACACUAUACACACUGCAUACACUAUACACACACUGCAUACACUACACACAUACUACACACACUGCAUACACUAUACACACACUAUACACACACUGCAUACACACACCGCAUACACUAUACACACACUACAAUACACACUCUACACACACUAUACACACACUACACACUAUACACACACUGCCCACUAUACACACACUGCAUACACACACACACUGCCAACACUAUACACACACUACACACACUAUACACACACUACACACUAUACACACACUGCAUACACUAUACACACACUGCACACACUAUGCACACUGCAUACACUAUACACACACUAUACACACUGCACACACUAUACACACACUGCAUACACUAUACACAAACUACACACACUAUACACACACUGCAUACAGUAUACAUACACUGCAUACACUAUACACACAAUGCAUACACUAUACACACUGCAUACACUAUACACACACUGCAUACACUAUACACACACACUGCAUACACUACAUACAUUAUACACACUGCAUACACUACACACACACUGCAUACACUACACACACUGCAUACACUAUACACACUGCAUACACACACACUGCAUACACUAUACACACACUGCACAGUGCAUACACUAUACACACUUCAUACACUAUACACACACUGCAUACACUACACAGACUGUAUCCACUAUACAAGCGCACACACUGCAUCCACUACGCAAACACACACUUAUACAUGUGUAUCUGUAUGUAUGUGUAUCUGUUUGUGUGUUUGUGUCGGUGUGCCUGUGUAUCUGUAUAUAUGUGUCUAUCUGUAUGUGUGCCUGUCUCUCUCUCUGUGUUUGUAUCUGUAUCUGUGUAUGACUGUGUUUCUAUAUAACUGCAUGUGUGUACCUGUGUGUCUGUGUAUCUGUAUGUGUGCCAGUGUGUGUAUAUGUGAGUAUAUGUGUUUAUGUACAUACAUCUCAGCAUUUCGUCUACACUACAUACAAAUACAACACUGCAUCCAAAUGUCACCACCAUAUUCAAAAACCACACUACAGAAAAAUGCACGCCUUCAAAUGCCAAUACGUGCAAACACAUCCGUACAUUCACUCACACAAACUCAAUACAAAAACAUGCUUACAUUAAAAAUAUACAAACGCUGCUCAGUGCCAAAUACAUUAAAAAAAAUUGUGCAGUUGUUUUUUACAUUUCAAAGUUGGGAGAGGGGUGGGGGGGUGCCAAAUAAAGGAUCUGCCCGGGUGCCUAAUGCUCCAGCUACGCCCCUGAAUACACCUUAAUCAGUAAGAUCUCCGUGGAAUCCACCAUUGUGGUAUAUUUAAUUUGUGAGCUCCAUGGUACAGCCCAUGCAGAUAUUCUCUAUUAGGAUUAGGUGAAAAAACAAGUUUCAUAGAGGUAGAGUCAGUAACAAAGCAUGCUUACACUUCGGUGCAACGUCUUUGUUUUGUCAUGUCAUUUUGGAAUAAAGCAUUCAAUUUUUUACACAUUCUUACAGAGAAUGAUAUAGAGUGUGGUCUAAAAUCCAAUGUCCUAUAUGAUACAUCUUGUGCAGCUAGGCAGAAAGGAAUAAAAAUAAGAAAACAUAUUUUUUUAAUGAAAAUAAAUCAACACUUAGACAAGAACAGGAAACUUGAGUAACCUGGGUGAUGGUUUCUUAAAGAAUCUAAUCCUUGAAAAAAACUCUAAUAUGCGCAACACCCCUAGGAGUAGGGAAUGUGUUUACUUCAGUUUAUAAAUAAAUGGGAAUUUUUUUCUCAAACACAGAAGAUGUAAGAGAACCUGCAGAAAAAAAACCAAAUUAUAAUUUUUUUAGAGUCAAAACUGACACAAGUUGGAGGGAGGGAAAGUACCUACCCUUAAUAGGGCAACUAUGAGGCAAAUGAUCAACGACCCUGCAAAGUCAACCGGCAAUAAACUUUCAAAGAAGGUCCUAAGUGAGAGUCAUUAAUGGUCCCCUCAUACUGACCAUUAACAGAAACCAGAAAUUGCACCAAGUCAAUAAACCGUAAGCUACGUCCUGGAACUUGCCAAGCAUAGAACCUUCCACAGUCACACAAAUGGAAUUCUCAGGUGCCUUGUUCAGUACGUAUGUGGUCCAGUCUAUGAAGAGGGGUCCAGGGAGAUAGGUAGGAAAUAAAUCCUCUUCACAGCAGGUUGGAAAUUUUAGGUCAAGUCCAAAGGAGAGACAACAAGCAAAAAACGCAACCAUACAUAGCAGAGCUGUGAUUUAAACAAGAUGGCCUCCAUAAGAACUGGGGAGAGAACACAGUCAGAAAUGGGACUUCCAACAAAAACUAUUGGAUUCUAAGCAUGAUGCUAACAGAGACAUAGACAUCAGUGCUAACCAGGCAGUUUACCAACUUAGGAAAUCAAAAAAGUACUAACACACUGAAUCACUACUGAAUAACUUAGAUAUAUAGACUAUAGAUAUAUAGAUAACGGCAAUUAAAAUCUAAUUUUACUCGCAUGUAGAUCCAGUAAGGCAUGGUUUAUCUUCGUAUUAUCCCUAGACCAACUAUUAGUUACUAGAGAUGUUGCGAACCGUCCGCAAACUUCUCACGAACGGUUCGCCACAAGCUGUUCGCGGUGAACAGCUCAUGGCGAACCACGGCGAACCGUUCGCGACAUCUCUAUUAGUUACCCCUUACCAUUCUUGCUUCGAAAAGGGGGAAAACUUCAGAACUUGACCAGUUUUACCUGUUCCUGCAUUGGGCAUAAACAGAAAUGUGGCCUGGAGGUUUAUCUGAAAAGGGGUGGGUGCAAGCGUUGCUGGGUGUUCUGCAUUUUCCUGGUGGGGAAGGUCAGAAUCCCAACAUGGGUGAUUAAUGGUCUCACAUAUUAAAAAUAAAACAGGAUUAUGUUUUCCAAACAGUGAGCUAAUUCUGAAGAAGGCAGAAUUGAAUAAUUUAGUAAAACAGGUCUAUACAAAUUCGGAGACACUAUAUUGUCAUGUUAACAUUUGAAUAGAGUUACAUUUAUAUUUCAGGUAUCCCGAGGCACAGCAAGUAUCUGCUUCUGUGCCAAGUCUUUAAAAUAAAAAAACAAAUAAAUUAAGAGAUGUCUUUUUCAAGAGUGAAAUAUGGGCAUGAAUGAGGCAAAAAGUUUGUGUCUUCAUAAAAGGGUUAAUGAAAGUUAUAAAUGAUAAUAUAUGUACAUAUCUUAAAGAAAAUAACAAUGCUUUUGCUGACUUUUUGUCGUUAAGUUACAUCUAAUAUUAUUUUUUUUUAAAUAUGAGCGUCCAUUGCAAAUGGUCUGUUUGGAGACCAAGGAGUCCAUGGGGGAAGGACAAAAGAAUCGGUUUGCGUAAGAACUGACAUACAUCCAGCCCAAUAAAGCAUGUUGCUUAGGUCUGUUUGUUGGUAACUUGUCAACCCUUUGGAAAGUACAGAAAAAUAAUUUUUUCUUUUUUACACAACACAAAUGCUGUUUCAUCUGGUGUGUGACUAAAGUGAUCCCACAGUUUUAGCCCCCUUACCAGUCUUUAUCUGUUUAGAGAACUAACUUGCAUUUAAUUUUUAACCCUUUAAGGCCCUGAACAGUUGACCGAUACAUUGCCACAAUCAGGAUUAACAGUGCCCCAUCCAAUGAGGACCAUACCGAACUCCAAAAAAUGUGUUCAAACUUUUUUCAAUCACGUAUUUCAAUGACAUUGUAAAGCACCUGCCAGUUAAGGUCUGAACCAGAAAAUUCUCUAAAGCAUAGCCGAGGAAGUAAAUUCUUAUAUUUGUUACAAUUUUUCAUUUCACUGUAAGCUGUUAUAAUGUCUGCCUCGUGUAUUAUUACACCUCUGCAUUCUUAAAAUUGUCAUUUUACGGUCUGUUAUUAUGAGUUUUGCCUCUUUAGCUUUCAAGAAAAUUAAUCUACAGAAGAACAUACCUAAAUAUCAGUUAAUUACUUGUAUUCAUUAUUUUCUGCUUUCCAAAUCUAUUAUUAGUAAUAUUGCACGUGUAUCCCUAAAAUACAGUAUAUUAUUCAUACUUGUUUGUGCAACAAAGGUUCAUAUUUAUCAAAACUAUAUUAUGUUAAAAUGAAAUAGACUCAGAGUGAGCUAAUAGGCUUAUAAUGUAUCAUUAAUGCGAAAUAUUAAGUAAUAAAACUGAAAAUAAAACAAUAACGGCAACAAAAUAUUUUUUUAUUAAAAAUAAAAUUAAAAAUACGACAAAUAUUUUUGAAACAAAAUCAAAAAAAGUUUGGAAUUGCUAGAAGUUUGCAUAUCAGACAUGUGGAGGUUAAUUCAGUAAAACAAGAAUUGUGGAAAAUUGAGAUUGAGAGUUGCAAAUGUGAAGCCUAAAUACUCGAAAUGUUAAAACAUCUCAACUUUAGUUUUUUUCCAAUUCUGCAAUUUGGACUAAAUUUGCAUUUCCCACAAUUCUUCGCAAUUGCCAAUUUAGUGAAUACACUCUCUAAAGUAUAUAAUCUCUGACUUUAUUAGAGGAACCAGUGACAGAUCAAAGUGUAUAUUAAAUGUUGGGUAGAAAUUGAUGGUAAAAAAAAAAAAUAAUAGCGGUUUUUAGGUUUUAAUAAUGAUAAGAAUUGUCUUUUAUUUACCUAUUUAAAUAUGAUGAAAAAAAAAAUAUUUUACUUUCAUUUAGUUUUGCUUUUGAAUUUUGUUUUUUCCAACAAAUCACCACAUUUUUUGUAACUUAUUCUAAUGCAACAAGCCUGACUUUCACCACCGACAUGUUUCUAAUGUAAUAAAUGUUUUUAUAAGAAGCUAAUAACCGUUCUGACUCUGCGUUCUCAGACUCUGAAAAAUAAUUUUGCACAAAGUCAAUUCCUGUCUCGUGUUCAGAGUCAGAUCUAAUGCUCACACAAUCCCAAUUCACACACUUUCUUAAUUUAGGCCAUUUUCUUCAUAUAGUUUCAUCAACGCAAUUCCAAGGAUUCUCCUAGGGCCGUCUUAACAGCAUUAUAGGCCCCCGGGCCAAGCAGUGCACUUGGACCAUGCCUACUCAACCACUCACAGGAAUAAAAAUGUAAUUAUCGAUAAAAUUAAGCUCAUAUUCAUUGCUUACUUCAACAUCAGUGUUUAAACAUUAAAAAACAUGCUGUACAACAGAGAUUAAUCUACAGAAAUGUUUAGUGGGUAACUGGGACUGUUAAGAAUAUUAGAAUCAUUUUAUUUUUGCUUCAAGAAAUGAUGUGUGUUGAUUUCGUCUUGCUUAUAAACAAUUAGUAUGCGUGCAUUGUUUUCAUCAAGGUCAAGAUAGGUAUUUGUAACAGCAAGAUCACAUGUACAGAUAACAGCUGAUACUGAGGUGAUUAGUCCACCUAAAUGUUUUAAUUAAGAGGGUUUGAAGAUUCUGAAUAAAUCUCCCAGAAUAAUAUAAUGAAAGGUUGGCAAACCUAUGGGGUUCCUAUGCUCUUGGGGCCCCCAGGCAACUGCCCAGCGCGCCCAUGUGUUAAGACAGCCAUGGAUUCUCUGGCCUGCACUAAAUGAUAAAAUAUAUAAUAUUUUACCUGAUUAAAACUAAAGAGAGCUAUGUAUUAAUAAUGCGGGACAUAAUCCCCAACACUGUUGCCAAUGCUGUAGAUUUAACAAGAGUGAUAGCUAUGUCUAGGGACCGAAUCGGCAGUCGGCACCAGUUUGCAUCCUUGUGUGUAGCGAGGUUCUUGCCAGCCCACAACUACAAUGGUGAAUGAGGGUUAUCGAGACAUAAAACCAUUUAAAGGAACAGUCACAAUCAAACAACAAAAGACAACAAGGAGAUCAGUUGCAGCUAGCUAGUUAACGGAUAGUGUCCAUUCCCUUUAUGCAGCCAAUUUGAAAAUUAAUUUUAUAACAUUUAUAGACAAAUUGUGCAUCUUUAAUAAACUAUGGGAAUCCUGGCACUGUAAGAGGGGUCCCCUACCUUAAACCCCCCUUUGUUAUUGAUUUGUUUACACAGAUAUACCUCUCGUAAUGAUCGUAAUGCUAUUGCUCAUUUUAUCGUAUAUUUAUUAAUCUGUACAAUGAGUGUUUAAUAAGUAAUUAUAUAAACAAAACAAGUAAAACACAUUGUUGCCUGUAUAAAAACACGGUUUUUAUUCAUACCCAUGGGUUUAAAGGCAUUAUGUAGUAUUACAUGCAGACAUACCCUACAUGGUAACAUAUAGUGCCCAGACACACUGCAUCGAGUGCCAAUUUGUGCCUCAGUUACCCAUACGUUUUUGUAUGGAUCUGAAUGAGCUUUUUCGGUUUCAGAACACAGUAUAAUGACCGCCUCUGUAUACACCUAGUUAUCAUUAGAGAAAGUAAUCUGUAUGUUUUAAAUAAUUUUGUUAGGUUAAGGUUAGACAGUGAUUUUUUUAUGGGUGCACACACUCAUUAAUGACGUAUUGUGAGUGCCAGUGAUGGUAGGUAGCCGUACUCCUAGACUCCUCGCCGCUAUGACACGUUAUAAGAGACAAUAUAGACUAGGUUUAUAUCUGUGACACUAUAAUGGACCUGCAUUCUUUCACUGAUGAAUCACAAUGUUUUGGGAUGAGGCGUAGCACAAUGGCAAAACAUCCUUCACAAAGAGACUAGCCAUUUUAGUUUAAAAAUGUCAUCAUCUAUCUUUAAUACACUCUCCUUAUCCCCAAAGGCGAUGUAAUAUAGUCAGAAAAAUCACAUUGAGAAAAAUAAAUAAAAAUUGGAAAAAAACAUAUUAUUACGUAAAAUCUCACACUUAUAGUUUAAUUUUCACUUUUGCGUGGAUAUGAUGUCUAUAUUUUCAUUCAGUCUGUGUUUUCGGUUACCAUUUUAAAUUUGCGUGUUUCAGAUUUUCUCGCUAGUGUGGCUUCAUUGAACGGCAUUUGACUUCACUGACAAACAUUGAAGCAUAAAUAACUAAACCCCAACAUUUAGUAAAUGAAAUCCAAACAGCAAAAUUCAGGCUAAAAUAACAUGAAAAAUUCUCCAUCUUGGCUAAAAACACAGCUUGGCUUUUUUAGCCUUAAUUUUGCCAUUCAGUCUGAAUCUGAUCAAUUUGGAACAGGAGCCUGUAUUAGCCAACCAUGAUCCCAUUGCGCCAGUCUGCCCUCCUGCACAUAAAAUCUGUUAGCUCUUGCAGCGGACGCAAUGUAGUUGUCAAACCGUUUGAAUAUGGAUUGACUUCUUACCAUGGGAGUGCGGCAGGCCAGUCCUGGCACCAUAACUACUAUAGUAGCUCCUUUAAUGGCUUCACUUGAAAUAAAUAUGUUGUGAGAGCCAGAUAUCCCACAAGGCCACAGAGGCCAUGACCUUGUAGCGGCAAGCGGGGGUGGGCGACCUCAAAGCUGUUGGGGAUUUGACGCCAAUCUCCUGGUCGCAAAUCUAUUUCCCAGUAUCUAACGUCUGAUGUAGAAGCCAGGAGGUCCACUGUACCGCUCCUUGUACAUACACUAAGCAGAGAGAUAUACAGUGCACACAUGUAGACACACAGGAUAUACACUAAGCAGAGAGAUAUACAGUGCACACAUGUAGACACACAGGAUAUACACUGAUCAGAGAGAGCUAUACAGUGCACACAUGUAGACACACAGGAUAUACACCGAUCCGAGAGAGAUAUACAGUGCACACAUAUAGACACAUGGGAUAUACACUUAGCAGAAAGAUAUACAGUGCACACAUGUAGACACACAGGAUAUACACUAAGCAGAGAGAUAUACAGUGCACACAUGUAGACACACAGGAUAUACACUGAUCAGAGAGAGCUAUACAGUACACACAUGUAGACACACAGGAUAUACACCGAUCCGAGAGAGAUAUACAGUGCACACAUAUAGACACAUGGGAUAUACACUUAGCAGAAAGAUAUACAGUGCACACAUGUAGACACACAGGAUAUACACCGAUCAGAGAGAGAUAUACAGUGCACACAUGUAGACACACAGGAUAUACACCGGUCUGAGAGAGAUAUACAGUGCACACAUGUAGACACAUGGGAUAUACACUUAGCAGAGAGAUAUACAGUGCACACAUGUAGACACACAUGAUAUUCACUAAGCAGAGAGAUAUACAGUACACACAUGUAGACACACGGGAUAUACACUGAGCAGAGAUAGAUAUGCAGUGCACACAUGUAGACAAACAUGAUAUACACUGAGCAGAGAGAUAUACAGUGCACACAUGUAGACACAUGGGAUAUGCACUGAGCAGAGAGAUAUACAGUGCACACAUGUAGUCACACAGAAUAUACACUGAGCAGAAAGAUAUACAGUGCACACAUGUAGACACACAGGAUAUACACUGAGCAGAGAUAGAUAUACAGUGCACAUAUGUAGACACACAGGAUAUACACUGAGCAGAGAUAGAUAUACAGUGCACACAUGUAGACACACAGGAUAUACACCGAGCAGAGAGAUAUACAGUGAACACAUGUAGACACAUGGGAUAUACACUGAGCAGAGAUAGAUAUACAGUGCACACAUGUAGACACACAGGAUAUACACUGAGCAGAGCGUGAUAUACAGUACACACAUGUAGACACACGGGAUAUACACGGAGCAGAGAUAUAUACAGUGCACACAUGUAGACACACAGGAUAUACACUAAGCAGAGAGAUAUACAGUGAACACAUGUAGACACACAGGAUAUACACUGAGCAGAGAGAUAUACAGUACACACAUGUAGACACACAGGAUAUACACUGAGCAAAGAGAUAUACAGUGCACAGAUGUAGACACACAGGAUAUACACUGAGCAGAGAGAUAUACAGUGCACACAUGUAGACACACAGGAUAUACACUGAGCAGAGAGAUAUACAGUGCACACAUGUAGACACACAGGAUAUACACUGAGCAAAGAGAUAUACAGUGCACAUAUGUAGACACACAGGAUAUACACUGAGCAGAGAGAUAUACAGUGCACACAUGUAGACACACAGGAUAUACACUGAGCAGAGAGAUAUACAGUGCACACAUGUAGACACACGGGAUAUACACUGAGCAGAGAUAGAUAUACAAUGCACACAUGUAGACACACAGGAUAUACACUGAGCAGACAGAGAUACAAUGCACACAUGUAGACACACAGGAUAUACACCAAGCAGAGAAAACACUGUACAGCCUCUAUUCCUCUAAAAACAGCACAGACUCUACCCCCCUAAACAUACACUACACCCCCUUCUCCCCCUAAACACACAAUACAACCGCUAUCCCCCCAAACACACACUACAGCUCCUAUACCCCUAAACACACAUUAAAGUCCAUAUCCAAGUACAGCCCCUAUUCACAUGCGCACACACAUACUACACCGCAAACAGCCAUAUCCACAGACAGAGCCCCACAACAAGCUCUCUUCUACUACUACAUUUUUACUCCCUGUCCCCGCCCUCCCCCCAAACUUGUAUUAUCACAUCUAAAUGUGAUAGACAAAUUUAUAGGUACCAAUAAUCUUUUCUUGUUUUUUUUUUUUUUUACCGCAUUUUUAUAAGCGGACUUGUCUACCAUGUUUGCAUCGAUGUUGGCCAGUGAGAUCGGUGGCUAUCGGUGGUCCUAAACCACUAUUUUUAUACACCAGCAUUCAGGACAGAAGGCAGAUCGUUUUUGGAUCGUUCUGUUUGUACAUUGAGGCUGAAUACUUUAAUCCAUAUUGCUGUCAAGGUGUGAUGGGAGUUGGGCAUAGAUCUAAAAUCUGUUCAUACCACAUUUUUUAUUCAUUGUGGAGAAUUCUUACCUAUUAUUAUUUUUUAUUAUAUUAUUCUUAGUUUCCUCAAUCACUAAUAUUGUCACAAGGAGGAAAAAAACAAUGAACUUUUUGAUCGAGCUAAGAGAAAGAGUUGUCUGUGGUGUUAAAUAUUCCACAUGUACAUGCUGUAAGUCAAGCCUGCCUUAACAGAGGACACACAAAGAUUAUACAUUAUUUUACUAUGUUUAAAACCCCACCUGGGGAGGGCAGUAGGUGGUAGAAGGGGUACAGCUCGUCACCUGCUUACAAACAUUGUACAGGGGAGGGAGCAAACACAAGAACUCUCUCUUGAAUUAAUGCUUAUUUAUUUAAUAUUUAUUAUUUCAGUUUUUGCCAUUAGUUAACAAUGGACAGGAAGAUAUGCACCAUGACUGCUAUUUCACACAAUAUUAUGCAAGUUAGUCUUAAUCAAUGCAAAUGGACGUUUUAUGAAGAGAUCCCUAAAUUAUUCUGUGGAAAAAAAAUAGCAUACGAUAGAUGAAUAAUGCAGGAUACAUUGUGUAAUGUGACAAAUAAAUACAAAAUAAUAAAAAAUGAGAAACAAACUGACUCUGCAACAACAAACCAAAGAGUAACUGUAUAUAGAUAGAAUAGAGUGCACGGAAAAUAUUCUGCCAUGUAUAUUAUUUUAUUAUUUUUACUGGUUUUAUAUAUCUAUACACAGUUGGAAAAACAACCAAGGUAGAGGCUACUUCUUUCUCAGCUACAAUGUCCAUUUAUCAUCUCAUUUCUAUAUCAAAUUAGCUACAAAUCAUUGCUUAGUAAAUAAACCCCACCAACAGACAGAUGGAUCUAUCGAUCGAUGGAAAGAUUAGUAAGGCGUAUAAAUAUAUUUUACAGCAAUUUGGCAUUGAAUCAUUCUGAUUCAAGCUUCUACACAAAGUUAAGAAACUCAAUUACAAAAAUUUAAAAUACAAGAGUUUACUCUGUCAGUAGUCUGUCCGAAUGCUGCAUACGAAUAUAUUCUAAAUAAGUUGCUUAACCAUCUAUUGUGAAAAUGAUCUGGUAAUUGAAGGAUCAAAAGUUUAAAUGAAAGGGAUACUCGGCACAGGAAUAGAUUUUUAGAGUGGGACAGACACGGUAUAUAAUAUACUAUAAAUAUAUAUAUAUACAAGCAGUAAUUUAAUAUAUGAAAAGAGAUUAAAAUAGUAUUUCUUCUGUCAUUUUAUGUCUUUGUGUCCUGAUGAAAGCUCCGAUCGGGAGCUGAAACGUUGACUUUGCUUGAAUUGACAAUAAAUUGGAUGAACUAAACCCAAGAGUGCCGGUAAUUUUUUGAUAUAUAUAUAUAUAUAUAUAUAUAUAUAUAUAUAUACACACACACACAUAUAAGUAUAACAUAAAAUCUUAAGACGGAAUUAUUUUUUACAUACACUAAUAUACAUGUAAAUAUUUCUACAACUGUACAAGAUAUGUUUUUUUUUUAACAUUGAAGAAAAAUCUUUAAUCAAAUAAUGCUGCCCUACAGAACAUGCUGGUGUUAUACACAAAGAUUUUUGUAAUGCUGCCUAUCGUUAGCAAAUGGAAUACAAGCAAUAGAAUCAAUUUCUUUAAGCAGUAACUCGUAAUAUUAACUAGGGUAAGUUUUGUGGACCUGACAUGAUCGCUGCGUGUACUGAGAGCUUGUCAAUCAUUAACCUAGCAUUAUUUACAACCCACGGCAACAUAAAAAUCCCUGUAUUAAGGUAAAAAGGUUUCUCUCUCUAGUGGUAAACGGAGGAAAUGAAGUAUCCAGUCCACUUCUAACGGAGCACCACAGCAUAAUAUUCAUAGAGAAAAAACUGAUAAUUUCAGCUAACGUCCCAUAAAACCUACACUAUGUCAUCCAUAAAGAAUACAGAAUGAGAUGCAGAUGGAAUAACUUUAAAAUGAUUUAUGUCUGUGAAUUGUACUGUUUUUACCCAGAAACCAUGCAAUUUAAUGCUAUUUAAAUGAUAGAAAUUACAAUUUUCUAUCCUCUUGUCUUACAGAUACCGUCAAUCUUACAACAAGUUAAAAGAAGAUACACAUAUUGUGCAAUAUCAAAAACAUUAAAAUAAGACACGUUUUAUCACAGUAAGGUAGUGUGCCACUUUAUCUUUUAUUCAUAAUCUUGUACAAUGUAGAAUUUAGCAGAAAUGUAUACAUUGUUCUGUUGGAAGAGGAAGUUUCUCAGUAAAUGGAAAAGGAUGACAAC
rnacentral:lncRNA from 1 species